rnacentral:SRP_RNA from 1 species
GCCAGGUGUGGUGGCGCACACCUGUAAUCCCAGCUACUCAGGAGGCUGAGGCAGGAGAAUUGCUUGAACCCUGGAGGCAGAGGCUGCAGUGAGAUAAGAUCACACCACUGUACUCCAGCCUGGGCUACAGAGCGAGACUCUGUCUCCA